rnacentral:rRNA from 1 species
GACGUAGGGCGCGCGCGUUGUCCGGAUUUAUUGGGCGUAAAGAGCUCGUAGGCGGCUUGUUGCGUCGGCUGUGAAAACCCAUGGCUCAACCGUGGGCUUGCAGCCGAUACGGGCAGGCUAGAGUUCGGUAGGGGAGACUGGAAUUCCUGGUGUAGCGGUGAAAUGCGCAGAUAUCAGGAGGAACACCGGUGGCGAAGGCGGGUCUCUGGGCCGAUACUGACGCUGAGGAGCGAAAGCGUGGGGAGCGAACAGG